GCGUUGUGAGUAGUCUAUCACUGAUAAAGGGAAAACUCUAAGGUCUAUUAUUGCCUGCUUUAUUCACUAAACCAGAAAUCUCUCAAUUGUUUUUUUCCAAGUAUCUUUUGCUGCCUCUUAUGUAUUGUAGGCAGUGCCUGAUGGCUGAGAAGAAUCGCAGAGGACUAGAAAAGGUUUGAGUCUGAAAUUAUCUGGCACAGAGGAUUAGAGCUCAGAAAUAAGUGAUUGCGAAACAGUUCAACUUCCCUGUUAAUGACAACAACAACAACAGCAACACGCUUAUUAAUUCCUAGCUGGAGCAUCAAGCUUAUGAAGAUUUCCAAGUAAGACUUUAUUGUUGACCCUUGUUGAAGAGAACUCUACUUGGCUUCUUUCCUGGCUUUCCUAAAUUGUUCACAUACAAGAUAAACUACCGUCAUUCAGACUUACAGAAGUGAGAAGACAAGCUGAACCAAAUGUAAAAUGGUAGCAAUUUACAGAUGUCAGAACUAACAUGUGGAUGAACUUAGAGAUGGAGAAGAAAGCUGGGCUUUUCCAAAGAGUGGAUCUAUCUGAACUGGAUAGCACUAUUGAACUUUGUUGCAUAUUUUGUGGUAGCUCUAAAACUCCUCUGCUUGCUUACAUACAACCAGACACCAGUGCCUUCUGAAGCUAAUCCAGGCCAUUUUUAUAACCUAAUGCAGUAGCACUUUGCAAUUAGAUGAAGAAGAUCGGUGGGAUUUCUUUCUGUGGUGAUUAAAAUGUGUCAGGGGAAGAAAUCAAGACAAUACUCCAAGUGAAAAAUAUAAAGUCAGUUAUUUCUUUAAUAUUUUGUGUUAUAGUAAUCAUUUUUAUAUUUUGAGCAUACUUUUUCUUGUCUACUUAAAUACUCAAAAUUAAUUAUAAAAUGUAAAUGUAAGCACAAUGAGAUACCAUCUCAUCCCAGUUAAAAUGGCUUUUAUCAAAAAGAUAGGGAAUAAUGAAUACUGGUGGAAGGAUGUGGAGAAUGGGGAACCCUCGUACACUGUCAGUGAGAAUGUAAAUUAGUACAGCCACUAUGGAAAACUGUAUGGAAGUGCCUCCGAAAACAAAGUAGAACUACCAUGUGAUCCAGCAAUUACACUAGUGGGUAUAUAUUCAAAAGAAAGGAAAUCAACAUAUCAAAGAGAUAGCUGCAUUCUCAUGUUUAUUGAAGUCCUGUUGAAAUAGCCAAAAUAUGGAAUCAACCUAAGUGCCCAUCAGUGGAUGAAUGGUUAAAGAAAAUGUGAUUGAUAUGCAAUGGAAUAUUAUUCAGCCAUAAAAAAGAAUGAAAUCCUGGCGGGGCACAGUGGCUCAUGCAAGUAAUCCCAGCACUGACCUCAUGAAGACAGAGAGUAGAUUGGUGGUUACCAGAGGUUGAGAAGGGGAGAGGAGAGGAGGGAUGAAGAGAGGUUGAUUGAUGGAUACAAAUAUACAGUUUGAUAAUGAUAAAUCAGUAGGGUGACUAUAGUUUAUAAUAACCUAUUGUAUGGUUCAAAAUAGCUAAAAGAGAAUAAUUGAAAUAACGUAAGACAAAAAUUUAAGAUGAUAGAUAUCCCAAUUACACUGAUUUGAUCUUUACAAAUUAUAUGAAUGUAUUAAAUUAUUACAUGUAUCCCCA
rnacentral:lncRNA from 1 species